rnacentral:rRNA from 2 species
UUCCGUAGGUGAACCUGCGAAGGAUCAUUA